rnacentral:misc_RNA from 1 species
GAUGAAGAACGCAGCGAAGUGCGAUAAGUAAUGUGAAUUGCAGAAUUCAGUGAAUCAUCGAAUCUUUGAACGCAUCUUGCGCUCCUUGGUAUUCCUUGGAGCAUGCCUGUUUGAGUAUCAUGAGCAAAUCUCAAAGUCAAUUCCUUUUGUUGAUUCAAUUGGUUUUGCUUUGGACUUGGAGGCCUUGCAGAUUUCACAGUCUGCUCCUCUUAAAUGCAUUAGCUGGAUCUCAGUAAUUAUGCUUGGUUCCACUCGGCGUGAUAAGUAUCACUCGCUGAGGACACUGUUAAAAAGGUGGCCAGGAAAAUACUGAUUGAACCGCUUCUAACGGUCUAUUAAGUUAGACAAUUACCCUUAAGUUUGAUCUCAAAUCAGGUAGGACUACCCGCUGAACUUAAGCAUAUCAAUAAGCGGAGGA